CUGUCUAAGAUUUCCAAAGGGGUCUUCCCCUCCAUUCAAAAAUUUUUAGAGGUCUGCAAACGAAAAAAAGGUUGAAAACCACUUCUGUAAUACAGA